rnacentral:rRNA from 1 species
UGGGGAAUAUUGGACAAUGGGCGAAAGCCUGAUCCAGCAAUGCCGCGUGUGUGAAGAAGGCCUUCGGGUUGUAAAGCACUUUAGGUCGGAAAGAAAAAGCUCUCCUUAAUACGAAGAGCCUUGACGUACCGACAGAAUAGCCCG